rnacentral:rRNA from 1 species
AGAGUUUGAUCCUGGCUCAGAAUAAACGCUGGCGGCGUGCUUAACACAUGCAAGUCGAGCGAGAAAGCCCUUCGGGGUGAGUACAGCGGCGGACGGGUGAGUAACGCGUGAGAAUCUGCCCUUUAGUGGAGAAUACCCUCGAGAAAUUGAGGUUAAUACUGCAUACGUCCCUACGGGGAGAAAGAUGGCCUCUUUGCUGUCGUUGAAGGAUGAGCUUGCGGCCUAUCAGCUAGUUGGUAGGGUAAAGGCCUACCAAGGCGAUGAUGGCUAACCGGCCUGAGAGGGUGUACGGUCACAUUGGAACUGAGACACGGUCCAGACUCCUACGGGAGGCAGCAGUGGGGAAUAUUGCGCAAUGGGCGAAAGCCUGACGCAGCGACGCCGCGUGGAGGAUGAAGGUCUUAGGAUUGUAAACUUCUGUUAAGUGGGAAGAAAUCUUUAGUGUUAAUACCACUAGAAGAUGACGGUACCAUUAGAGAAAGCACUGGCUAACCUCGUGCCAGCAGCCGCGGUAAUACGAGGGGUGCAAGCGUUAUUCGGAAUUAUUGGGCGUAAAGGGUGCGUAGGCGGCUUAUUAAGUCUGCUGUUAAAUCCUUCGGCUUAACUGAAGAAAUGCAGUGAAUACUGGCGUGCUAGAGGAUGGAAGAGAGAAGUGGAAUUCUCGGAGUAGCGGUAAAAUGCGUAGAUCUCGAGAGGAAUACCGAUGGCGAAGGCAGCUUCUUGGUCCAUUCCUGACGCUCAUGCACGAAAGCGUGGGGAGCAAACAGGAUUAGAUACCCUGGUAGUCCACGCCGUAAACGAUGAUCACUAGACGUCGAAUCUGCUCUGCAGAAACGGUGUCGUAGCUAACGCGUUAAGUGAUCCACCUGGGGAGUACGAUCGCAAGAUUAAAACUUAAAGAAAUUGACGGGGGUCCGCACAAGCGGUGGAACAUGUGGUUUAAUUCGACACUACGCGAGAAACCUUACCUGGGUUUGACAUGUAUGUGACCGCUGUAGAAACACAGUUUUCCGGUUUACCGGACACAUACACAGGUGCUGCAUGGCUGUCGUCAGCUCGCUCGUGUCGUGAGAUGUUGGGUUAAGUCCUUUAACGAGCGCAACUCCUGUCGCUAGUUGCUACCCUGUAAAGGGGCACUCUAGCGAGACUGCCUGGGAAACCAGGAGGAAGGCGGGAAUGACGUCAAGUCCUCAUGGCCCUUAUGUCCAGGGCGACACACGUGUUACAAUGGCUAAUACAAAGGGCUGCCAAACCGCGAGGUGGAGCUAAUCCCAAAAAGCCGAUCUAAGUUCGGAUUGAGGUCUGCAACUCGACCUCAUGAAGUUGAAAUCGCUAGUNNNNNNNNNNNNNNNNNNNNNNNNNNNNNNNNNNNNNNNNNNNNNNNNNNNNNNNNNNNNNNNNNAUGAGAGCUGUCUGUACCCAAAGCCAUCUUAGCCAACUCGUAAGAGAGGCGGAUGUUUAAGGUAUGGGGAGUGAUUGGGGUGAAGUCGUAACAAGGUAACC